GACUUAAUUGGAUUGAGCCUUGGUAUGGAAACCUACUAAGUGAGAGCUUUCAAAUUCAGAGAAACCCUGGAAUUAACAAUGGGCAAUCCUGAGCCAAAUCCUGGUUUACGCGAACUAACCAGAGUUUAUAAAGCGAGAAAAAGGGAUAGGUGCAGAGACUCAACGGAAGCUGUUCUAACAAAUAAUGAUUAACUUCAUAGUCUGAUAGAUCCUUGGUGGAACUUGUUAAUCGGACGAGAAUAAAGAUAGAGUCCCAUUCUACAUGUCAAUACUGACAACAAUGAAAUUUAUAGUAAGAUGAAAAUCCGUUGACUUUUAAAAUCGUGAGGGUUCAAGUCCCUCUAUCCC
rnacentral:ncRNA from 1 species